GUCUUUGAGGAAUUGUCGCGAAGGAGACUACUUUUUGUUGCUCUGAUGAACAAUUUGUGUGAUUAUUGGCUGACGCAUCUCUUGUCUCCAUCAGUGAUACUUCGGUAGGGGUGGCAUCCGAUGCCUUCAAUACCUUCUUCAGCGAGACUGGUGCUGGCAAGCAUGUACCAAGGGCCAUCUUUGUAGAUCUGGAACCGACUGUCAUCGACGAAGUCAGAACCGGUGCGUAUCGCCAACUCUUCCAUCCCGAGCAGCUCAUCUCUGGGAAGGAGGAUGCCGCAAAUAACUUUGCUCGGGGCCACUAUACAGGUAUCGAUAUUGUUCUUCGUUUGCUAUGUUCACCUCUUCUUUCUUUUGAAUAGUCCCUUUUUCCUACCUUGGAUUUGACCCUGUAUGGUCUUGUGAGCUGCUGCAGUUGGGAAGGAAAUUGUAGAUCUCUGUCUCGAUCGUGUCAGAAAACUAGCGGACAAUUGUACUGGCUUGCAAGGGUUUUUGGUUUUCAAUGCUGUUGGUGGUGGUACUGGAUCCGGUUUGGGUUCCUUGCUUUUGGAACGAUUGUCUGUGGAUUAUGGGAAGAAGUCGAAGCUUGGUUUUACGAUAUACCCUUCUCCUCAGGUAUUAAGAAGUUGUGCAAAGGCUUUGAUACUUUCAGUUUGAUGGUGACUGUCUGAUAGAUCCUCUUUUCUGGAAAGUAGGUCUAUGUUAUUGAUUCUGAUUCGUUUUCAUUAUUAUUCUGAUGCUUUGAGACUUUGAAGUGAAGGCUUACUGUUAGUAUAUAAACUUUUAUCUGAUCUAGCUGAACCCAAAAAUCCUAUUAUCAGAAGAGUAUUGUUAGCAAUCAGAUAACAUCUCCAUUUCAUGGUGGAAUCAUCUAUGAAUCGAUCAAUUUUCCUGUAAAGCACCUGAAAUUAGGUUGGAACUAGUGCAUUCUGGUGUAAAUGGCUCCAAUUGCGCAAUGUGUGCUUCUAUGUAUGGAGUAUGGAGCAUCAUAAUAAAUCAAAUUAUUUUAAUGAAUUCAUAAUAGAAAAUGAAAUUAAGUCCCAAUUUGUUCCUGAAGUUUGUCACAAAGCUGACUAGGAUUUUAUCUUACAUUUUCUGUGGCCAUAGAGUCUGAUCAAGAACACAAGAACAAUAUAAGAACUUCCCAGAAUCUACAUAAAAUCCUUAACCAGCAAUGUACUUUCAGUGAUGAACCUUGAGAAGAAUAUGGAUACAGUAUCCUUGUAUAAUGAUACAUUCUUAUGAGCAAUGGUAGGUAGGUAAGUUGGUGUUUAGUUGCUAUCCUUGUUUGGUGCUUCUAUAUUGUGUAGUUGGUACUAGUGGCCCAGUUGGCGGAUGCUUGUGAAAAUAUUGAUUCUGUCUUUUCUUUUCUGUGAAAGAUGGUUAAUCCUAUGGUAUUUUGUUGUAGGUAUCUACUGCAGUUGUGGAACCAUACAACAGCGUCCUCUCCACACAUUCCUUGCUCGAGCACACUGAUGUUGCAGUUCUUUUAGACAAUGAAGCCAUCUACGAUAUCUGCAGAAGGUCUCUGGAUAUCGAGCGGCCAACCUACACCAACUUGAACCGGCUGAUAUCUCAGAUCAUAUCCUCCUUGACUACCUCUCUGAGGUUUGAUGGGGCCAUUAAUGUGGAUGUCACAGAGUUCCAGACCAAUCUUGUUCCGUAUCCCAGAAUUCAUUUCAUGCUGUCCUCCUAUGCCCCCGUUAUUUCUGCUGAGAAAGCAUACCAUGAACAGCUCUCUGUCCCUGAGAUCACAAAUGCAGUAUUCGAGCCAUCCAGUAUGAUGGCCAAAUGCGAUCCAAGGCAUGGAAAAUACAUGGCUUGUUGUCUGAUGUACCGAGGAGAUGUUGUGCCUAAGGAUGUCAAUGCCGCUGUUGCAACCAUCAAGACCAAGAGAACUGUGCAAUUUGUGGACUGGUAAGCUUAUACCAACAUCACCACUUAUUGCAUCAUAUGUUAUUUUGGGUUGGAAUUGACUGCUUCAUCCUAAUCCAUGAAGGUGUCCUACUGGAUUUAAGUGUGGAAUCAACUAUCAGCCACCAACAGUGGUUCCUGGAGGAGAUUUGGCUAAGGUUCAGCGUGCCGUGUGCAUGAUCAGCAACAACACUGCUGUGGCCGAGGUGUUCUCACGAAUCGACCAUAAGUUUGACCUCAUGUAUGCAAAGCGUGCGUUCGUUCACUGGUACGUCGGUGAAGGGAUGGAAGAAGGUGAGUUCUCAGAGGCACGAGAGGACCUGGCUGCCCUGGAAAAGGACUACGAGGAGGUCGGAGCAGAGGGUGCAGAUGAUGAAGAGGAUGAGCCAGAGGA
rnacentral:lncRNA from 1 species